rnacentral:rRNA from 1 species
GAGUUUGAUCGUGGCUCAGAACGAACGCUGGCGGCAGGCUUAACACAUGCAAGUCGAACGCGUGUAGCAAUACACGAGUGGCGCACGGGUGAGUAACACGUGGAUAUCUGCCUUUUGGUUCGGAAUAACCCUGGGAAACUAGGGCUAAUACCGGAUGGUUCCUACGGGAUAAAGAUUUAUCGCCAAAAGAUGAGUCCGCGUCCGAUUAGCUAGUUGGUGAGGUAAUGGCUCACCAAGGCGACGAUCGGUAGCUGGUCUGAGAGGACGAUCAGCCACACUGGGACUGAGACACGGCCCAGACUCCUACGGGAGGCAGCAGUGGGGAAUAUUGGACAAUGGGGGGCAACCCUGAUCCAGCCAUGCCGCGUGAGUGAUGAAGGCCUUCGGUUGU